rnacentral:lncRNA from 1 species
GAAAUGCAGUUACAGGCUUCAGAUGCUGCUGACAUCCUUAGCUCUAGACUGGUGGAGGCCAGUGAUCUGCUGAGAAUAAUUUUGGCUAUGAUAGGCACAAGGAUGUUAGAUUAGAUAGGAGUGGGCAGUACAUGGCUUUCAAAGGCAUUAAAAGUAACUUAACAUAAUUUGAUCUCCAACAUUUUUACUACAAUCAGGAAGCUCAGUUAUUUGGCCUAGUAGACUUUAACACAGGUGUUGGGCUGGGGAGAUGGUUCAGUGCAUUGUAAGUACUUGCCAGGCACCAGGAACUUUAAUCCUAGCAUUCUGUAGGCAGAUGCAGGAAGAUCUUUGAGUUCAAGGCUAGUCUGAUAUAUAUGAGAGUUCCAGGCCAACCAGGAAACCAUAGUUAGACCAUGUCUCAAAAACAAACGCAAAAACACCACACACCUCUCAAAGAAACAAAAAUGAAAACCAAACCAAAGAAACAGCUGUGCUUGUGAAGAAAGCAUGGAGCUGAGUUCAGAUUCAUAGGUUGUAUGUAAACACACAGGUGCAAUGGCAUGGGGGUCUAUAUCUCAGUACACCUGCAAGAAGACAGGAAGCAGAGACCAGAGGAUCCCUAGGAGUCUAGGAGUGGGCUGCUUAGCCUGGACUCUACAGAGAAAAAUAGCAGAAACCCUUUCUCAAACAAGGUAGAAAGCAGAUGAGGAUGAAUACCUGUUUUCUGACUCGUGUGCCUGCAUUUUCAUAUGUAUAUGUACAUGUAUGCCCAGACGUGUACAUACAUCUUUAUUAAAGGUAGAGCUUUUGGUUUUUAAAUUACUUUAUUUAUUUACAUUCCAGUUGUUGUCCUCCUCAGUCUCCUGUCCAAAUUUCUCAUCCCAUUCUUCCUCCCCCUUUUCUCUGAGGGUGCUCCUUCCUCCCCCCAAUCAGGCCUCACCCUUCCCUGAGGCCUCACUUUCAAGGAUUAAGUGCACAUUCUCCCACUGAGGCCAGACCAGGAAGACCUCUGUUAUGUAUGUGCCGGGGCUCUGCAACCUUCCUGUGCAUGCCUCUGGCUGGUGGCUCAGCUCCCGGGGUCUGGGUUAGUUGAGACAGCUGGUCUUUCUCCCUAUGCGGUCACUUUUGUUUUUUUUAAGGUUUAUUUUUUAUUAUUUUUAUUUAUGUGUCUGUGUAAGUGAAUGCCACGUGUAUGCAUGUGCCUGGAGGCCAGAAGACAUUAGUCCUUUGGAGUUGAAGCUAGAGGCAGUUGUUGUGUAGCCUUGUGUGAGUGCUGGGAACUGAACUCUGCUCCUCUGCAAGACCAACAAGUGCUUAAGCACAGACCUAUCUCUCCCUCCUCCACAGUAUAUUCUUUUUGGGCUCAUUCCAUCUUCCUGCCUCCCCUUCUAAACAAACAAAUAAAGAAAAAAAAAAAUCAAACCCUAAAGUAAGCCUGAGGAGAAGGGAAGUAACUGACAUUCAGGUGUAGAGCACAUGCCUGGGUUAAAAUCCACAAGUCCAUCAACAACAACCAAAAACUAAAGACACAUUUAUAUCAUGGGCUAAAUUUCACCUCUUCCACUAAAAGUACUACAUCAUUUAUAGAUCUAAUUACUUAAUAUGAGGUUAUUUUGGAUUAGAGCAGGAUUAUGCAGGGCAUAAUUCAAUGUGACUGGUGUCUUUAUAGUAAGCCAGCUAUGAACAUGGAGGCUUAAAGGUUGCCUGUUUGAUGUAGUAAAAGAGAAGAAUGAGAGUAACAAUGAAUAGACUCUCCUCCAGGAAGUGGGAGAGCAUCACACAUCACAGCAUAGGGGAUUAGGUAGGUGAGAGGGGCUGAGAACAGAAGGGCAAUUCAGUAAAAUGGGGCAAGCAACAUAUACAUUGAGCCACACAGUUCUACAAGGGGAAGGAAAACAGAAGCCUUAUUCAGAAGGUAAGCCAGGCAGCACUGACCAAGAGACUGGCCAUAGGACCAGCCCAAGGAAUUUUUUUUUUUUUCCUUGAGAUAGGGUUUCUCUGUAUAGCCCUGGCUGUCCUGGAACUCACUCUGUAGACCAGGCUGGCCUCGAACUCAGAGAUACACCUGACUCUGCCUCCCAAGUGCUAGGAUUAAAGGCAUGCGCCACCACUGCCCAGCCAGCCCAAGGAUCUUGCAAGCCUUCAGUCCAGUUAGGGUCCAUAAGACAUUCCGAUGCAAUUAAUGAGAGAACAGAGAAGUCUAUUUCCUACUAUGUAACACUGAGUUGGGUGGGGGCCCAAUCUCAGGAAGUAAUCACAAAUCAGGGAGCCUAGAGUCAACCUGCCAAAGCCCCAGGACUAAGAGACAGAGAUGGGAGGCAACGUGAAUGGGGGAGGGCUAGAUGGCCUGCAGAAAAGUUUAGGUGGCAGUAGACUCACAUUGAACAAUGAGGUGGAUGGAGCUGGGCACAGAUCCUCCACUGAUAACUUUAGAGUUUGAUAUUAAGUCUCAGUUAGUUGUAGAGGACAAAGAAAACCACUUUGAUACUUUUCUUUUUUAUAUUGCUCCUGUAUUUAUGUGUGUGCUGCAUGCAUGUACGGUGUGUGUAUACACUCAUCUGUGCAUGUAUAUGUGGACACAAAUGGUUAACAUUAGGUGUGAUGGUUGAGUAAGAAUGGCCCCCAUAUGCUUAUAUAUUUGAAUACUUAGUUAAUUUGAAAGCAUGGCACUGUUUGAGAAGGGUUAGAAGGAUUAGGAGGUAUAGCUUUGUUGGAGGUAGUGUAUCACUAGGGGGUAGGCUUUGAGGUUUCAAAGCUUAAGCUAAACCCCAUCCUCUCAUCCUAGCAAAGAUUUUCAGGAUGCUUAGCAACCUCUCAGCUACUGCUCUGGUACCUGCCUGCCUGCAACCAUGUUCCCCAUGAUGAUAAUGGACUAAGCCUCUGAAACUGUAAGCCAACCUCCAAUUAAAUGCUUCCUUUGAUAAGAGUUGCCUUAGUCAUGGUGUCUCUUCAUAGCAAUUGAAUAGUAACUAAAGUACUGAUAUCUUUCUUUAUUGAUCAUCACCUUAUUUUUUGAGACAGGAUUUCUCACUGAAUCUGGAGCUCAAAAAUUUCCCUUGAAUUAUAUACAUAUGCACAUACU